rnacentral:rRNA from 1 species
AUUGAACGCUGGCGGCAUGCUUUACACAUGCAAGUCGAACGGCAGCACAGGGAGCUUGCUCCCGGGUGGCGAGUGGCGCACGGGUGAGUAAUACAUCGGAACGUGUCCUGUUGUGGGGGAUAACUGCUCGAAAGGGUGGCUAAUACCGCAUGAGACCUGAGGGUGAAAGCGGGGGAUCGCAAGACCUCGCGCAAUUGGAGCGGCCGAUGCCCGAUUAGCUAGUUGGUGAGGUAAAGGCUCACCAAGGCGACGAUCGGUAGCUGGUCUGAGAGGACGACCAGCCACACUGGGACUGAGACACGGCCCAGACUCCUACGGGAGGCAGCAGUGGGGAAUUUUGGACAAUGGGGGCAACCCUGAUCCAGCCAUGCCGCGUGCAGGAUGAAGGCCUUCGGGUUGUAAACUGCUUUUGUCAGGGGCGAAAAGGACCGUGUUAAUACCAUGGUCUGCUGACGGUACCUGAAGAAUAAGCACCGGCUAACUACGUG